rnacentral:rRNA from 1 species
UUUGAUCCUGGCUCAGGAUGAACGCUGGCGGCGUGCUUAACACAUGCAAGUCGAACGAUGAUGCUGGUGCUUGCACUGGUGGAUUAGUGGCGAACGGGUGAGUAUCACGUGAGUAACCUUCCCUUGACUCUGGGAUAAGCCCGGGAAACUGGGUCUAAUACCGGAUAUGACUGGUCUCCGCAUGGGGGCUGGUGGAAAGCUCUUGCGGUUUUGGAUGGACUCGCGGCCUAUCAGUUUGUUGGUGAGGUAAUGGCUUACCAAGACGAUGACGGGUAGCCGGCCUGAGAGGGUGACCGGCCACACUGGGACUGAGACACGGCCCAGACUCCUACGGGAGGCAGCAGUGGGGUUUAUUGCACAAUGGGCGCAAGCCUGAUGCAGCGACGCCGCGUGCGGGAUGACGGCCUUCGGGUUGUAAACCGCUUUCAGCAAGGAAGAAGCUUUUUGUGACGGUACUUGCAGAAGAAGCGCCGGCUAACUACGUGCCAGCAGCCGCGGUAAUACGUAGGGCGCGAGCGUUAUCCGGAAUUAUUGGGCGUAAAGAGCUCGUAGGCGGUUUGCCACGUCUGCUGUGAAAGCCCGGGGCUCAACCUCGGGUGUGCAGUGGGUACGGGUAGGCUGGAGUGCAGUAGGGGAGACUGGAAUUCCUGGUGUAGCGGUGAAAUGGGCAGAUAUCAGGAGGAACACCGAUGGCGAAGGCAGGUCUCUGGGCUGUUACUGACGCUGAGGAGCGAAAGCAUGGGGAGCGAACAGGAUUAGAUACCCUGGUAGUCCAUGCCGUAAACGUUGGGCACUAGGUGUGGGGGACAUUCCACGUUUUCCGCGCCGUAGCUAACGCAUUAAGUGCCCCCGCCUGGGGGAGUACG